GGCUUUGUAGUGGAAAUUGAAGACGUCAGACUGCAAUUCUGAAGAUGUAAUAAAAUUACCUUAGCUU
rnacentral:tRNA from 1 species